rnacentral:rRNA from 1 species
GACAGAGGGUGCAAACGUUGCUCGGAAUUACUGGGCGUAAAGGGCGCGCAGGCGGUCUUGAAAGUCAGGCGUGAAAGCCCCGGGCUUAACCUGGGAAUUGCGCUUGAUACUCUGAGACUGGAGUACGGGAGAGGAGAGUGGAAUUCCCAGUGUAGAGGUGAAAUUCGUAGAUAUUGGGAAGAACACCAGUGGCGAAGGCGGCUCUCUGGACCGUAACUGACGCUGAGGCGCGAAAGCGUGGGGAGCAAACAGG